CCCUGAAUUACAAACUGUUUUUCCCAACUCUGAACGAGCUUCCAUACGACCACGAGACUUUAAUAAUGCAAACACACAGUUUCAAGGACAUCUGAAUGACCAAUGCGCAAGCUAAUUCAAUUGGCACCACGAAGCCAAACUAUUGCGUAACGAGGUAAGCAUGACGGCCAAGAACCCCCUGAAAAAAGUUUGGCAUUGGAGGAAAUUACAAGAAUUUGCUUGGACACGACACAGUCAAGCUUUGUGAGACCACGACUCUUGCAGGCCUAAAUAAAGUGUUGGUGCCAUAACUAGUACUCGGCACUGCGCAACCUGUUGAUUUACCCGCCUUUUCCACACCUUAUUUCAUUCAGUAAGCAAGUACAAUCCCAACACAGAGCUACUUAUCAGCUGAUUUCAUGCACACGUCUUCAAAACACGACUGGGAUGGAUUAAGAUCCACGCCGAGGAGCAAAACAACUUAGUGAUGCGAGCGCUGUUUACUAUUCUCUACUGUGGUUGUUUAGCCACGUUUGUGCGUAAAAACCCAUAAUAACACAUCGCGUUUCAUGCUGUGGGACCACUUUACGCAUGCAUGCUGUCAUAAGAAUGCGCUUAAAUGGACAGUAAACCAAAUGCAUUAGUGGUAAAUGACGUUAAAAACGUUCAAGCGAACGCCUCGUCCAUACAAACACCGAUGUUUCUGGCCUCUACACCCGUCUCAGACGACUUCUACGGGGGUGACUUUGCAAGGAUCUCCCUCCCUGACUCCGGAGCAACCCCUCCCACCAACACCAUGCUCUGCACCCUCUACACCUGAAAGCUCUGCAGGCUUUACUCGCAGUACACCAGCCCUGCACCAAAACAUACACAGGGAUUCACAAAGUGAGAUGGGUUCAAAGGUCAUUGGAGUUUAAGAGAACAUAUUCUAAAGCAACAACACAAACCUUGGGCAUGGAGGAGGGAUCGAAUCGCAGGACUUUCUGGUUGCAGCAGGGGUAAAGACCAAUGCCAUGCCAUCUUUGCUCUGCCCCAAUGCCAGGAUACACAACCGCCUCUGGGUGAUAUUUACACUGGCCCAACUCCGUACACAGGAAUGCCUGCCAUAAGCCAAACAACAUGCACUUUUUUAAUUUGAAUUUAUUAAUUUAGUAACUAACCAAUAUUUAUCUACAUAUACAUACUGUACUAAAAUCUUAAAUUAUUUGUUUACCUGUUUGCAGCGUGAGCAGGCAAGGAAGUUGAUGGUGCCCCAGAUCCUCCAGUAAACUAGUAUCCAGGACUUCAACUCUUCAUAAAGCCCAUUCACAUACUCAUGUACCUCCCAGGCCUUAUGUCUACACAGAUACAUCACAGUUACCAACAUGUCAUCUCAUAUGUGUAUGUAUAAGACUGAAAUAUCAAUACACUUGGUGUGUAUGUGAUUGAAAUACAGAGUGCCUCAUAUAA